UUUUAUUAACUUUAAAUAAUUUAAUUAAUCUUAUUAAAAAUUUUUUAAUUUUGCAAAGUAAAUUUUUUAUUUAAUUCUUAAAAGUUAAUGCAUGUGGAAUUAAAAAUUAAAAGGUUUUGAUAAUUUUUUUAAUAAUGAACUAAUUAAAUGUUUUCUUUUCAGAAAAGAUCGCUCAGGUGACGGUUGCGUCCCGGGACGUUAACCCUAGUGUAGGUAAUUUGCACCUGGGCGGUAUUAGUUUCGUUUAGAAUAUAAAUGUAGGUAGGAAAUUCGGAAAAAAUAGGCAUUUAUGUUCGUUUUAAAUACAGCAAUAGGUAGGGAAAUCGGGUAAAAAAAUGUAAGUAAAAAAGCAAGUAACUGGAGUACCAGUGAAAAUUUGCUUCAUUUCAUUCUUUUAUUCUUUUUGUCACUAUGUUGUCUUAUAUUUUAAUGUUAUGUAAAUGUUUUGUGUAUGUUUUCUAAGUGUUUUGUGUAUGUUAUCUAAGUGUUUUGUGAAUGUUUUCUUUAAUUGAUAAUUAUUUUCAGUCGAAUCAUCGUGGUGAGAAAUAAUAUUUCUUUUUAAUUAUAUUAAUCAUUUUUUUCAGGAAUGUGUAAUUUUUUUGUUCAUAGUCUUAAUAUAUAAAUAUGUAUAUGUAUUUAUUAUAUUAUAUUUAUCAUAAGUGAAUAUUUUAUUAAUUGAAUUUAAAUAUUAUAAAUUUUUUUUGUUUAUCUGCUAUAUUGAAAAUUUUUCGGGUAUUUUUUGUAAAUGUUAUUAAUUUUUUUUACAUUUUUUACAGUGAGUAUUAUAUUUCAAGUAAGUAAAUUUUCGAGAUAUUGCUAUGAAAUAGAAACAAUAUGUUUAUUAAUAAAAUUUUUUAUCUUUUUUUUACAGAACUGGAAAAAGAAUUCGUUUACUUAAGAAGAAUGAGAGGGACGUUUAUUUCAUCAUUUCACGCCAUUAAAAUUCCUGAUCGGUGGAAAAGAGGAUGACUACGAGGACUUUUUGUUAGUCACAACUAAUCUACCCCUAAAGAAAGUUGAUUAUGAGGAUCACGCGAGACCAAAAAGACAAUGAGAUCCAGGAUAAUCAGGAGGAAGCUGUCGCUUGAAAAUUGGCGUCAGUGUAUUGUCAUAAAAAUUAGCGAUCGAUUUCAGUUGAAUGGAUAGAAAAAAUGUGGACGCCGCGUAGGAUUCAAUAAUCAACUGAAGGACAGGAAAGAGAAUUCAAACAAUAGUGACCAGAAAAAGAAAUAAAUGAAUCUUCGCUUCAAACGAGAGAAUCCGUAAUUAAAAAUGCUGUUCACGAGUGACGAUCAAAAUGGAAAUCAGGAUUACAUAAUGCGGCGAUUUUAAGCUUCUGGAUUAUUUUGAUGACUACAAUACUGCAAUGGCGUACAAAAAUUCAGAUUCGUGAUCAUGGACAUUUUUGAAGCAUGCAUUAUUUUCUAAUCGUACACGGGCCAGUUUGAUGAUAUCCUUUUGCGGUGCAUCUUUAUAUAUAGAGUACAUUGCGCCAGGACUUUUAAUUACAAAGUCCUGUGACUUCUGGGAAAAGUGCUUGAUGUAAUAUUAAAAGGGUAAAAAGGGGUUAACGACUUCCACCGCAGACUAUUAGGAAAUGGCAAAAGCAGGACGCGAACCGUCUGGAGGGCAUUAGCAUAUCUACGAGAGCAGACCUAAAUUUCAAUUUCUUCAGCAUCCGUGCAAGACUCCUAUAGAAAACAUGUGAUGAAGGUGGGAAAAUUUGUCAUGUCAAAAAAACAAGGAAAAACGAAAUAAAAAUGUUUAAAAAGAGAUGAAGCCUGAUGACAAAAAAAAGGGAUCGAGAGAGAAAGAGAUAAUCCUUCCAUGACAUGGGGAUUUGUGUUAUUGUUCGGCUUUCGCAAAAAAAAAGGACUGGAAAACACGCAUGACAAUACUAAAAUAUUGAUGGAAUGAUAUUUUCGUGUAUAUGAAUUUUCAAGACAAGAAUAUCAUUUUCAAAAGAUUUCUCUCUUUGAUGUAUAGAUAUCAAAAUUCAUAUUAUAUACAUAAAAAUUGUAA